AGUGAACGCUGGCGGUAGGCCUAACACAUGCAAGUCGAACGGCAGCACAGGAGAGCUUGCUCUCUGGGUGGCGAGUGGCGGACGGGUGAGGAAUACAUCGGAAUCUACUUUUUCGUGGGGGAUAACGUAGGGAAACUUACGCUAAUACCGCAUACGACCUACGGGUGAAAGCAGGGGACCUUCGGGCCUUGCGCGAAUGAAUGAGCCGAUGUCGGAUUAGCUAGUUGGCGGGGUAAAGGCCCACCAAGGCGACGAUCCGUAGCUGGUCUGAGAGGAUGAUCAGCCACACUGGAACUGAGACACGGUCCAGACUCCUACGGGAGGCAGCAGUGGGGAGUAUUGGACAAUGGGCGCAAGCCUGAUCCAGCCAUACCGCGUGGGUGAAGAAGGCCUUCGGGUUGUAAAGCCCUUUUGUUGGGAAAGAAAUCCAGCUGGCUAAUACCCGGUUGGGAUGACGGUACCCAAAGAAUAAGCACCGGCUAACUUCGUGCCAGCAGCCGCCGUAA
rnacentral:rRNA from 1 species